rnacentral:rRNA from 1 species
GGUUAAGCGACUAAGCGUACACGGUGGAUGCCCUGGCAGUCAGAGGCGAUGAAGGGCGUGCUAAUCUGCGAUAAGCGCCGGUAAGGUGAUAUGAACCGUUAUAACCGGCGAUACCCGAAUGGGGAAACCCAGUGUGACUCGUCACACUAUCAUUAACUGAAUCCAUAGGUUAAUGAGGCGAACCGGGGGAACUGAAACAUCUAAGUACCCCGAGGAAAAGAAAUCAACCGAGAUUCCCCCAGUAGCGGCGAGCGAACGGGGAGGAGCCCAGAGCCUGAAUCAGCAUGUGUGUUAGUGGAAGCGUCUGGAAAGGCGCGCGAUACAGGGUGACAGCCCCGUACACAAAAGCGCAUGUGCUGUGAGCUCGAUGAGUAGGGCGGGACACGUGGUAUCCUGUCUGAAUAUGGGGGGACCAUCCUCCAAGGCUAAAUACUCCUGACUGACCGAUAGUGAACCAGUACCGUGAGGGAAAGGCGAAAAGAACCCCGGCGAGGGGAGUGAAAAAGAACCUGAAACCGUGUACGUACAAGCAGUGGGAGCCCCACCACCAAAGCAUUCUCUGGUGUUGAAGGCCCUGCAAAGCAGCAUCGCGGUGGCGGAGCGUCGUUUGCGACGCCCAACACACAAAACAAGCGGUGAGUGCUUUGGGGUGGGGUGACUGCGUACCUUUUGUAUAAUGGGUCAGCGACUUAUAUUCUGUAGCAAGGUUAACCGAAUAGGGGAGCCGGAGGGAAACCGAGUCUUAAUUGGGCGUUAAGUUGCAGGGUAUAGACCCGAAACCCGGUGAUCUAGCCAUGGGCAGGUUGAAGGUUGGGUAACACUAACUGGAGGACCGAACCGACUAAUGUUGAAAAAUUAGCGGAUGACCUGUGGCUGGGGGUGAAAGGCCAAUCAAACCGGGAGAUAGCUGGUUCUCCCCGAAAGCUAUUUAGGUAGCGCCUCGUGAAUUCAUCUCCGGGGGUAGAGCACUGUUUCGGCUAGGGGGCCAUCCCGGCUUACCAACCCGAUGCAAACUGCGAAUACCGGAGAAUGUUAUCACGGGAGACACACGGCGGGUGCUAACGUCCGUCGUGAAGAGGGAAACAACCCAGA